CCUACGGGUGGCAGCAGUGAGGAAUAUUGGUCAAUGGACGCAAGUCUGAACCAGCCAUGCCGCGUGCAGGAAGACGGCUCUAUGAGUUGUAAACUGCUUUUGUACGAGGGUAAACGCAGAUACGCGUAUCUGUCUGAAAGUAUCGUACGAAUAAGGAUCGGCUAACUCCGUGCCAGCAGCCGCGGUAAUAAGGAGGAUUCAAGCGUUAUCCGGAUUUAUUGGGUUUAAAGGGUGUGUAGGCGGUCGGAUAAGUUAGAGGUGAAAUCCCGAGGCUCAACUUCGGAAUUGCCUCUGAUACUGUUCGGCGAGAGAGAAGGUGCGGUAGGCGGAAUGUAUGGUGUAGCGGUGAAAUGCUUAGAGAUCAUACAGAACACCGAUUGCGAAGGCAGCUUACCAAGCUACUUCUGACGUUGAGGCACGAAAGCGUGGGGAGCAAACAGGAUUAGAUACCCCAGUAGUC
rnacentral:rRNA from 1 species